rnacentral:rRNA from 1 species
GCUGGCGGCGUGCCUAACACAUGCAAGUCGAACGGAGUAAACCGCUGAAUUGAAGGUAGCUUGCUACUGAAUUUUCUUGGUUUACUUAGUGGCGGACGGGUGAGUAACGCGUGAGUAACCUGCCUUACAGAGGGGGAUAACGUUUGGAAACGAACGCUAAUACCGCAUAACAUAUCGAGUGGGCAUCCACAUGAUAUCAAAGGAGCAAUCCGCUGUAAGAUGGACUCGCGUCUGAUUAGAUAGUUGGUGAGGUAACGGCCUACCAAGUCGACGAUCAGUAGCCGGACUGAGAGGUUGAUCGGCCACAUUGGGACUGAGACACGGCCCAGACUCCUACGGGAGGCAGCAGUGGGGAAUAUUGCACAAUGGGCGAAAGCCUGAUGCAGCGACGCCGCGUGAACGAAGAAGUAUUUCGGUAUGUAAAGUUCUAUCAGCAGGGAAGAAAAUGACGGUACCUGACUAAGAAGCACCGGCUAAAUACGUG